CGCUGGCGGCGUGCCUCAUACAUGCAAGUCGAACGCGAAAGCGGCCUUCGGGCCGCGAGUAGAGUGGCAGACGGGUGAGUAACGCGUGGGUGACCUACCUUCGAGUGGGGGACAACCUUCCGAAAGGAAGGCUAAUACCGCAUAAUAUCCCGCCCUUGGAUGGGUGGCGAUCAAAGCCGGGGAUCUUCGGACCUGGCGCUUGUUGACGGACCCGCGUCCGAUUAGCUUGUUGGUAGGGUAACGGCCUACCAAGGCCACGAUCGGUAGCCGGCCUGAGAGGGCGGACGGCCACACUGGGACUGAGAUACGGCCCAGACUUCUACGGGAGGCAGCAGUAGGGAAUUGUUCGCAAUGGGCGAAAGCCUGACGACGCAACGCCGCGUGGAGGACGAAGACCUUCGGGUUGUAAACUCCUGUCGAGCGGGAAGAAUUGCCCGCGGAUUAAUACCCCGCGGGUUUGACGGUACCGCUAAAGGAAGCCCCGGCUAACUCCGUGCCAGCAGCCGCGGUAAUACGGGGGGGGCAAGCGUUGUUCGGAUUUACUGGGCGUAAAGGGCUCGUAGGCGGCCGCUCAAGUCGGUUGUGAAAUCCCCGGGCUCAACUCGGGAAUUGCAGCCGAAACUGGACGGCUAGAAGCCGGGAGAGGGAUGCGGAAUUCCAGGUGUAGCGGUGAAAUGCGUAGAUAUCUGGAGGAACACCCGUGGCGAAGGCGGCAUCCUGGGACCGGUCUUGACGCUGAGGAGCGAAAGCUAGGGUAGCAAACGGGAUUAGAUACCCCGGUAGUCCUAGCCCUAAACGAUGAAUGCUUGGUNCUAACGCGUUAAGC
rnacentral:rRNA from 1 species